rnacentral:snRNA from 1 species
AUACUCUGGUUUCUCUUCAGAUCGUAUAAAUCUUUCGCCUUUUACUAAAGAUUUCCGUGGAGAGGAACAAUUCUGAGUCUUUACCCAAUUUUUUGAGGCCUCGUUCUUUAACGAGGCUA